UUCCCGUAUGAUCACCGAAGUUAAGCAACAUCGAGCAUGGUCAGCUCCUAAAUGGGUGACCAUUUGGGAAUACCAGGUGCUGUAA